AAUAAAGUGGCUGAAAUUUUAGGCGAUGAAUUGUAAAUUCAUUUAUAAAUAUAGAUAUAUUUCUUUAUUA